rnacentral:rRNA from 1 species
CGUGUAGGCGGGAAAGUAAGUCAGAUGUGAAAUUCCAUGGCUCAACUGUGGCACUGCAUCUGAAACUAUUUUUCUUGAGUGAUGGAGAGGAAAGUGGAAUUCCUAGUGUAGCGGUGAAAUGCGUAGAUAUUAGGAGGAACACCAGUGGCGAAGGCGACUUUCUGGACAUUAACUGACGCUGAGGCGCGAAAGCGUGGGGAGCAAACA